CUGUGGUUGGACCUCUUUUAGGUUGUUUGUUUUCUGGCACAAUCUGUCUCUGUGACUGGGCCGGGUGCCGUGCUGCCCGCGACAAAGGACUCUUUCUUAUGACACUUUAAUAGCUCCAGCACAGGGGACAGCCCUGAUUCUCCCAGGCGUGCAGGAGAGGAACGGGGCUGCUUUUCUGCAACUUGGCCUGAGUUGAACUGAGUGAGACUUAAGGAAAAAAACAGUAUUAAAUCCCAAACUUUAACCUCCUAGCAAAGGGAUAAGAAAAGCCAACUGCAUCAUGUAGAGAAGAGCACAGAUUAAAAGGUAACCAAGCGUCUGAUCAGCCUCUGGCAUUGUUCUACUGGAUUUAGGGCCUACUAUAAUCCAAUACAGGCUGAUAUUAACCAAUUGCAUCUGCAAAGACUCCAUGACCAAAUAAGGCCACAUCUGUGGGUGCUGAGGGUUAAGAUUUCAACACACCUUUUGAGGACACAAUUCUGCCACAAACUCCUACUCUGGAAUUUACAGGACAAGGGAUCUUUGCCCUAUACCUCUGUCCUCCUCAAUGGCCUCCCCCAUCUGUCCACCCACUCCAGGAAGUAAGGCUGGGAGACACGGGUCCUGAAAUAAAAGAAACCUGAUCACCCCA
rnacentral:lncRNA from 1 species